UCUAGCUGCGAUGAGGAUAACAAGCUCCCUCUUCUGAAAGCAUUGACGACAUUGUUGGCAGAAUCGAACCAAUUAUACAUUGCCACCACUGAGCAG
rnacentral:snoRNA from 1 species